rnacentral:rRNA from 1 species
GACGUAGGGCGCGAGCGUUGUCCGGAUUUAUUGGGCGUAAAGAGCUCGUAGGCGGCUUGUCGCGUCGUCCGUGAAAACUUGGGGCUCAACCCCAAGCUUGCGGUCGAUACGGGCAGGCUAGAGUUCGGUAGGGGAGACUGGAAUUCCUGGUGUAGCGGUGAAAUGCGCAGAUAUCGGGAGGAACACCAGUGGCGAAGGCGGAGACCUGGGCCAAUACUGACGCUGAGGUGCGAAAGCGUGGGGAGCAAACAGG